GCAAGCCCCGAGCAGAGCUGCUGGGAAGGGAGUUGCCCCCGCGUCUGCGUUUCCUCGCUGGCGCAGAACGGGAGCAGCCUCCAGGCCGGCCGACCGCGGCGUGUGGCGCCGGAGGGCAAUGAAGACUGACUAGUCGAGAACGCUCGGCUCGAAGGAGAAUCGGGAUGAUGAAUGGGGCAGGUGGGAGGAAAACCGGAAGCAGCGACCAGAGCGUAGACACUGGAAGAUGUCUGAAGAUGCUGCUGCCACUGACAACGACAGGCUUGAGUGCCCUCGCGGGAAGUGAAGGGGCUUCUGUGAGCUGAGGCCAAGGCGAUGGCGGACCUAUUCCUGUGAAUGUCGGUCACCAAAAAACAGCAGUAGGGGCCCGAGUGGAAUCACGUAUUGUGCCCAGAACCAAGGCCUCCUUGUUUCCAUCCUUGACUCAUGUCUUCCAAGCCAUUCUCCAAACGUCAGGUCUGAUCUGUCUCUUCUGCACGCCACAUAUGUCACGUAUCUUCUAAAGGCUUCCCACCACGGGUGAGAUUAAAAAAAUCCUAAAUGUUGUCCCUGUCUACAAAGCUCUGAGUUCUUGCCUCCCUAGAAUUCCCUCAGUCUCAUUUGGAAUUAUUUCCCAUCUUCCUCACCAUCAGCCUUUCUACUCUGCAAGCAUGUCAUGCUUAUUUUCAUCCUUAUGCCUCCAGCGCUGGAGGGGCCAUACACCCAGGCGGUUUUCUUUAAAGUCCCUGUCUUCACGGAGUUUAUGUUCCAGUGGGGACACAAACGUGAGAAAUAAGUUCAACCGACGUCUGAGCUGGCGGAUGCAGAAAGGCAGGGAAGUGUGUGGUUGUAGGGGAGAGGAACUGACAGGUGAGUAAGGUGGUCUGGGGAGGUGACCCGCGGAGGGUGACGUCGGAGCAGAGCUGAGAAGUGAGGGAGCGAAGCGAGGGGGAGCACGCCUGGCGCCUUGAGGAGGAGCAAAGACGAGUGGAGGGCGCAGGGAACAGGGGCCGACGAGACAGGCAGGGACCACGCGCAUCACACCAUGAGGGCUUCGGCCGCGGCCCUACACGGAGGCCUCACCUUUCGACCCAUCCCCGCCCACCCCGCCGCCGCCGCCGCCGCCGCCGGAUUCCAACGCGCGCGCCCACUCGCCUCGUGAGGCCCGUAGACCACCGCUAGCGCCUUGGUGUUGCCCUGCUCGAUGUAGGCCGAGCCGUCGGCCUGCGCAAACACACCCAUCCGCGCCUGGAUCUUGCGCAGCUCCCGGGCGCGCCGCCCGUCCACACGGUAGCCCUGGUCCGACAGCAGCUCCAGCCCCGCCAUGCCGCCCGGCCGCCAGCCCCGCUUCCGUUCUCCGGAGAACUACAGUUCCCGGCGGCCCUGAGGCCCCACCUCCGACCUUCCGGGCCCACGGUUUCCGGGGCGCCGGCGUCCACUUCCGGCUCGGAGGACUGCGGUUCUCGCGGGGUUCCCUGCGGCCCCACUUUGGGCGCCCGGGGAGUUUCGGCGUUGGGGGUGGCGGCGGAGGGAAAUCUGCCAAGUGUUGGGCUUGCUUCUCCGCGGCCGCCCGCGGGGGAGACCGGCUGUGCUGGCAUCCUCGAGGCGGUCCCCACGACCCUGGGAGCCCCCCCCGUCCCACGC